CCCCUAGAUGUUCUGGGCCGCACGCGCGCUACACUGAACAGUUCAACAAGUCUUAACCUUGGCCGAUAGGUCUGGGUAAUCUUUGAACGCUGUUCGUGAUUGGGAUAGACCUUUGCAAUUAUGGGUCUUCAACGAGGAAUUCCUAGUAAACGCAAGUCAUCAGCUUGCAUUGAUUACGUCCCUGCCCUUUGUACACACCGCCCGUCGCACCUACCGAUUGAAUGGUCCGGUGAAUAAUUCGGACUGCAGCAGUGUUCAGUUCCUGAACGUUGCAGCGGAAAGUUUAGUGAACCUUAUCACUUAGAGGAAGGAGAAGUCGUAACA
rnacentral:rRNA from 1 species